GGGUUUUUAGAAAGAGAAAGGGAGAUUGGGUUUCUAGAGAAAAUCAGUUUUGAGAGAGAGAAAGAGAGGGAAUGAGUUUUUAGAGAGAGAGAUAGAGAGAAUGGAAUUUUAAAGAGAGAGAAAGAGAGAUUAGAUUUUUAGAGAGAUAAUGGGUUUUUGGAGAGAGAUUGAGUUUUUAGAGAGAGAAUGGAUUUUUAGAGAGAAAGAUAGAUUCGGUUUUUAGAGAGAGAAAGAGAGAAUGA
rnacentral:lncRNA from 1 species